AACCGGUAAGUCUCGUGCAGGUGCACUUCUUCCGGCCGGAGGCUACAAACUGCUACGUUUACAAACCGGGCACCUGCUGGCUGUUCCCUCGGACCUUCUGGGCUGCAAAGGAUCCACAUCCAACAUCUUUAUCCCGAGAGAGCCUGCAUUCUCCCCCUUAUAGGGAAUCUCCUCUCUAUUUUGGAGUAACGCACGAGGCGCAGUCCUGUGGUCUUCCUUUUUCUACCUCUACACAAGUAGCUAAAAGAGGCAAACAAAAGAUCCUCUACAUUAUUCUAUAACAGCCUGUGCGGCACCAUAUAAGAAAAAUAGUCCUGGACUGCUUUUGUAACAUCUGAAGACAUGCUGAAGUGCAUUAUUUGGGGGUGACUGCCCCGUUUAUUGUAGAGGUACUAUUUUUCUUGCUAUUAUAGAGAAAUGCAAAGUUGUAAACAACAAGCCAAGUUUCCACUAAUCAAACUUGGAUAUCGAGAGCAGAUUUAGCCUAAGAAAGUCCCGUAAUUCUGUUGCUUUCAGAACAUGAGAGGGAUGAACCAUUAGGCUGCAGACACUGUAGGCGCUUCCUCUCUUUUAAGUCGCAGAACUACUCGAAGGAGGCACUUAUGGCGAACGGCAGCACUCUCCGUAAAUGGGGAGCGAGGCUUUGAACACCUGGUCGGCACAAUAGGAUCUAAGAGGAACUAAUGGCGAAGAGAGCGAAGCUCUGGGAUGUGGAGAGCCGGAGCUCAUUACCGUCUUCUUACAAAAGGACAGUAAUCUAACCGAGGGACAAAGUGAGGGGAUCUGAAGAGCCCCUGGAUGUCUCCGACAAUACAUUACACCAUCACUGUUCUCCAAGAAUUCUGUCCUUUACCAUAGUUCAUAAAAAUAAUGUACCGGAGCAAAUCCCCACUCAGAACCUACAAAUAAAUCAUGCCUUAUAAAACAGACCACUAGGGGUCCCCAUACCAUCCCGAACAUAAUUAUAUCCGGCUGCAGCAUCAGCUAGCACUCCUCUGUGCUCACUCCUGUCCUAUCAGACUGCAGAAUGAAAACAGAGAGGAGGGGGUUACAGGGCAGCGUGCAGUGAUUGGAUGAAGAGAUCCAGCACAGCAGGCAAAGAGAGGAAGCUGAGUCAUGCAAAAUGAGGACACGCCCCCUUCAGAGCACAGAAUGGCAAACCAAGUGAGCAAC